UCUUGCUUUUCUUCCGCGCUUCUCCUUUCGAGGGCGGUGGGGUUGGGAUGGGAGGGAUGUAGCCGUGGUUCCAAUCAGUUUUGGAGCUUCGCCUGCAGGUGCCCGUAUUGGAGUACUGCUGUAUUAGACGAUAAGACUGCUGGUUGUAGGUUGUGAUUCAGUAAGUGUGAUCCAGUUUAUCUCUGACACUUGCAGAUUUCAGGGUUAUUAAUCUGUGACACUUGCGGAUUUCAGGGUUAUUAAUCCAUCAAGAAGACACUAGCUUCCUUAAUUUAGUGCAAUUUGUUUUGUUGCAUCAGAGGUUAUCAGAUUACUAUGAUGACAUAUAUGAGAAUAUCUAGGGCAUGGGUAGGUUUAACUCUGGAGACUGUUCUCACGUUAUUGUGGUGGUAUGAUGUAUGCUAGGGUGUAGUACCUAUUCCUUGUAGAUAUUGCUAUGUAUGAACAUGGAGAUAGCACAUUUAUGGUGAAAUGCCAGAGCAAAGGAUUCGACAAACCCUGGGCCAAAAGCUACGAGCCUGUAAUAAUUCUAGAAAGUAGUACUUCAUACCAAGUCAUAGUAAAUAUAGGAUUAAUGUAGCUCAAUUCCUCUGGGUAAGUUACAGAUAGUAUCACAGGCUGCAGCCACUCUGUUCUUUCAUUCUUUCUUAGUGCUGCCACCAGCCUCAGCACUCGAUUGACUGUCUAUGACCAAUGUGAUGCGUUCUGGCACCUUGGUUAGUUGGCUGGAAGAACCAAGUACACAAACUGACAAUACAAUGAACCUAUAUUUCUUCAAAUGCGCUAACAUAAAACGUUCAUGCACUACCCAGUCAGGUCGAACACAUCUCAUCGUGCCCAAUAUGCUCAUCUCAACUCAAUCAUCAUCGGAGGAAAAAUAGUAGGAUAGCUAAUCAAGAACUACAUAAAAUAAUUAUUUAGAUCAAUUUCGUAGUUGGUGCCAAUUGGAUGUAUCUCUACUACCUAAAAAUAAUGAACAAUAAAUUUGACUACUUGAAUAUUUUGUGCUUUCUUUCUAUGCAGGGUUUCAAAAAUUCGAGUACAUGAAUUCUCUGCAAGCACGAUGCAUUAUGUGGAUUUUUAUCUUAGGUACAUCUUUCUUUACAACAAAGGUACACACAUAUUUCUUCAUGGAUCCAACUACAUGAACAUGGAGGAAGUUGAUCAUACAGUCAUCAUAGUUUACUGAACUGGGCUAUGUUCUUGUUGGGAGACAUAUUGAGGAUAAAGAAAAAGGUAGAUCACGAUGACGAGCACGGCGAGCUGCGGAGGAACAUGGCAAGCUACGACGAAGCACGGCGAGCUGCAGAGAAGCAUGGCGAGCUACCGAAGAGCAAUGACGUCUCAGAUAUGUUCGCAAGAGCUCCACAAGUUCCGGGCGGAUGGAGGCAGUGACUGGCGGCUGGGGAGGAGGAGCACGGGUGGGUGCGGCACCUGGCCGAGGCAGCGGCGUGCACCUGAUCACUUGAGGCG